CAUUUAAAUGUUUUGUUUAGCUAAAACCUGCAGUACGUCGUAAUGUGACUGUCAGUGAUGUGCCCGAUGUUUUUCUUUUAAUAGUGGUUAUUUCUUUUGGGGAUUUAUAAUGUUCCAGAUAUGAAAAGAAGGGAUACUGCAACUUUAGGUCCGAGCAACUUCUGAUUUAUCUUCAUCUUACAAUUCAACCAAGCCUCGGACAUGGAUGAGGAAACUUCAGAUGAGGAAACUUCGGAUGUGGAAUCUAUAGAUGGACAAACUUUGGAUGAGGUAAAAACAUCAAAACUUAGUUAAUUCAAUUUGAUAUUUUUUUUUUAUUUUUGAAACAAACUUAUAUAGUGUAACUUUACUCUCACAGCAUAUUGUUUUGUACUUGUAAGUUAUAGUUAAACCAGAACAUUGCAGAAUUCAUAUCAAUAUUUCUACAAAACAUAUCUCUACAAACCAGUAAAAAUCUGAAAUGAACAGUAUUUGUACUGGACUCGACUGGUUUUUACUCGACCAUUCUGAAUGGGUUUGAAAUUUACUUAAUGUUACU